GACGAACGCUGGCGGCGUGCUUAACACAUGCAAGUCGAACGGAAAGGCCUGCUUUCCCUUGUGGAUUGCGGGUACUCGAGUGGCGAACGGGUGAGUAACACGUGAGUGAUCUGCCCCCAACUUGGUUAUAAGCCUGGGAAACUGGGUCUAAUUCCCGAUAGGACUGCAGGGUGGUGCCUGUGGUGGAAAACGAUUUUCUAGUGGUUGGGGAUGAGCUCGCGGCCUAUCAGCUUGUUGGUGGGGUAAUGGCCUACCAAGGCGGCGACGGGUAGCCGGCCUGAGGGGGUGGACGGCCACAUUGGGACUGAGAUACGGCCCAGACUCCUACGGGAGGCAGCAGUGGGGAAUAUUGCACAAUGGGCGGAAGCCUGAUGCAGCGACGCCGCGUGGGGGAUGACGGCCUUCGGGUUGUAAACUCCUUUCGACCGCGAGGAAGCCACCUGGUUGGAAGGGUGGUGACGGUAGUGGUAGAAGAAGCACCGGCUAACUACGUG
rnacentral:rRNA from 1 species